rnacentral:rRNA from 1 species
AAACCGUUCAGGGGUAAACCUGUGAAACCCAAAAGAUCGAAUGAGGAGAUUCAUCGUCAGCGUAUUCAGUAUUAAUGCAGGCUAUGAUGUGAUAAUAGAAUCCUCGUGGUCACUAGAUUAUACUUGCUUGUAUUAUUUUUGCUGRGUAUGUCGGCGUGCACUUCUCCUCUAGUAGAACGUCGCAACCCGUUGGAUGUUUAUCUAUGGCCURAAUGGUAGCCUUYGAUAUUUUAUAUYGRARACCUUUGGUGUCCUGAUAAACUGUCUGACGGURUACAAAGUCUGCUGUUAGCUGRUAAURUCUUUAACUGGCUUAUUUACUGGUUAGCGAUGCUACUGCUUUGGGUACUUACAGGACCCGUCUUGAAACACGGACCAAGGAGUCUAACAUGUGCGCGAGUCAUUGGGAUAUAUUUAUAUAACUCAAACCUAAAGGCGUAAUGAAAGUAUAGAUUGUCUUUAGACAAUUGAGGGAAGAUGGGUUGCGUUACGAUGMAAUYCCGCAUUCCCGGGACGUUCUAUUCUCAUUGAGAAAGGGCGUACCUAGAGCGUACACGUU